rnacentral:rRNA from 1 species
GGCAGAGCGAAUCGCUAAAAGCCGUCCCAGUUCGGAUUGCAGGCUGCAACCCGCCUGCAUGAAGUUGGAAUCGCUAGUAAUCGCGGAUCAGCAUGCCGCGGUGAAUACGUUCCCGGGCCUUGUACACACCGCCCGUCGCACCAUGGGAGUCGGAAAUGCCCGAAGUCUGUGACCUAACCGUAAGGGAGGAGCAGCCGAAGGCAGGUCGGAUGACUGGGGUGAAGUCGUAACAAGGUAAC